AUUGAACGCUGGCGGUAUGCUUAACACAUGCAAGUCGAACGAUGAGAAAGAGCUUGCUCUUUCGAUUAGUGGCGGACGGGUGCGUAACGCGUAGGAAUCUACCUAUUAGUGGGGGACAACUUAGGGAAACUUAAGCUAAUACCGCAUACGCCCUACGGGGGAAAGAAGGGGAUCGCAAGACCCUUUGCUAAUAGAUGAGCCUGCGUAGGAUUAGCUAGUUGGUGGGGUAAAAGCUCACCAAGGCGACGAUCCUUAACUGGUGUGAGAGAAUGAUCAGUCACACUGGAACUGAGACACGGUCCAGACUCCUACGGGAGGCAGCAGUGGGGAAUAUUGGACAAUGGGCGAAAGCCUGAUCCAGCAAUACCGCGUGUGUGAAGAAGGCCUUAGGGUUGUAAAGCACUUUCAAUUGGAAGGAAAACCUCGAAGCUAAUACCUUCGAGUUUGACAUUACCUUUAGAAGAAGCACCGGCUAACUCCGUGCCAGCAGCCGCCGUAA
rnacentral:rRNA from 1 species